rnacentral:miRNA from 10 species
CUGUGUGACCCUUUCAGUCUUCAGUUCCUCCCAGCCCAUGAGCAUGGCAAAGGUGUGUUGAGGCGAGUUGAAGACUUUAAGUGCUGUGCGG